rnacentral:rRNA from 1 species
AACGAACGCUGGCGGCAUGCCUAACACAUGCAAGUCGAACGAGACCUUCGGGUCUAGUGGCGCACGGGUGCGUAACGCGUGGGAACCUGCCCUUAGGUUCGGAAUAACUCCCCGAAAGGGGUGCUAAUACCGGAUAAUGUCUUCGGACCAAAGAUUUAUCGCCUUUGGAUGGGCCCGCGUUGGAUUAGCUAGUUGGUAGGGUAAAAGCCUACCAAGGCGACGAUCCAUAGCUGGUCUGAGAGGAUGAUCAGCCACACUGGGACUGAGACACGGCCCAGACUCCUACGGGAGGCAGCAGUGGGGAAUAUUGGACAAUGGGCGAAAGCCUGAUCUAGCAAUGCCGCGUGAGUGAUGAAGGCCUUAGGGUUGUAAAGCUCUUUUACCCGGGAUGAUAAUGACAGUACCGGGAGAAUAAGCUCCGGCUAACUCCGU